UGGGGAAUUUUGCGCAAUGGGGGAAACCCUGACGCAGCAACGCCGCGUGAGUGAUGAAGGCCUUCGGGUCGUAAAGCUCUGUCAGAGGGGAAGAAAUGCAGGGGUGCUAAUAUCAUCUUUGCUUGACGGUACCCUCAAAGGAAGCACCGGCUAACUCCGUGCCAGCAGCCGCGGUAAUACGGAGGGUGCGAGCGUUGUUUGGAAUUAUUGGGCGUAAAGCGCGUGUAGGCGGUUUGAUAAGUCUGAUGUGAAAGCCCCGGGCUCAACCUGGGAAGUGCAUUGGAAACUGUCAGACUUGAAUACGAGAGAGGGUAGUGGAAUUCCUAGUGUAGGAGUGAAAUCCGUAGAUAUUAGGAGGAACACCGGUGGCGAAGGCGGCUACCUGGACCGAUAUUGACGCUGAGACGCGAAAGCGUGGGGAGCAAACAG
rnacentral:rRNA from 1 species